rnacentral:rRNA from 1 species
AGGAUGAACGCUGGCGGCGUGCCUAACACAUGCAAGUCGAACGUCCUGUCUCGCAAGAGGCAGGGAGUGGCGGACGGGUGAGUACCACGUGGGUCAUCUACCGUGAGGUGAGGAAUACCGGCGAGAAAUCGCCGACAAGACCGCAUAGCCUCGGUGCAAGCCGAGGAAAGCUUUCUCGAGAGAGGGAGCGCCACACGAGGAGCCUGCGCCCGAUUAGCUAGCUGGUGGAGUAACGGUUCACCAGGGCGACGAUCGGUAGCUGGUCUGAGAGGACGAUCAGCCACACUGGGAUUGAGAACGGCCCAGACUCCUACGGGGGGCAGCAGUGAGGAAUUUUCGUCAAUGGGGCAACCCUGAACGAGCAACGCCGCGUGCAGGAAGAAGGUUUUCGGAUCGUAAACUGCUUUUCUCGGGGAAGAGAACGGACGGUACCCGAGGAAUCAGCCCCGGCUAACUACGUGCCAGCAGCCGCGGUAA